rnacentral:lncRNA from 1 species
GGAGAGGCUGUUUUAAUGAGAAGGUGAAUGGAGGGGCUUCUUUUGAAAGCAGGACGAGAGGAGGGCCACUUCUGAAACUGCGGGCAUAAUGGUGCCAUUCCUUAUCGCAGAUCUGACAGUGCCCGGAGCCUGCUCGCCCCCCUCUCACUCGCUCGUUCUCCGCUCCUGACUAACUACUGUUUUGGAUUGGCCUCUGGCCUAGGUCUCCUGGAAUCUUCUUUUGGAAGUCAAGGUUUACCCCCGCGCUAAAAACGAUGCUCCAGCCUGUUUGAACACCCUUUCUGCAUCCAUUCUGCAGGCCAGGAGUGGGAGGAAACCGUGUAAUUGCGGUAUUUCAGGACCCGCCCGGGGCUAGCUGGAACUGAACACACGCAGUGGACUCUUGAUUAUCCCUGCUAAUAGAGGGAAUGGUAGUUCAGACCACACGCAUUGUUUCUGGACUUUGAAGUGCGUUACGUGAUUUCCUUUUUUUUCCUUUUUGAACGCAGUAGCAGGUGGUUUAUUGUGAAUGAUGGUGAAGUUACUUUCCUAUUGCCUGUGUUUGGGGUGGGAAAACUGUGAGAGGUUACCAUUCCCUUCUUUCCUCCUCUGCCCCCAGGCUCACCUGGGAUGAACUCCUCCUGAUUUCCUAUCAUACGUUCCUUUUCAUUUUCCCCUUCUCUUACCAGACUGAACUCUCUGGCAGCUGUGGAAGGGGUAAGGCUCACUUGACACAGAAUUAAUGGAAGGAAUGUACUCUUAGGUACUUACCCUGAAAUAGGAGCCAACCUCAAAGCUAAGGAGAUAAAAAUGAUGAAUAUUUGUAUGAUCAGUAUUUACACAAGUAGAAUAAGUUCCAUGAUGCUGGGCAUUUACUGCUAUGAUCGCUUUGGUGGUGUGUCUUUUUGUUUGUUUUGUUUACUGCUUGCUGAAUCCCCAGGAUUUAGAACAGUGCUGAGUAUAUUUCAUCAGUUCAGUCACUCAGUCAUGUCCGACUCUUCGCAACCCCAUGGACUGCAGCAUGCCAGGCCUCCCUGUCCAUCACCAACUCCUGGAGUUUACUCAAACUCAUGUCCAUUGAGUCAGUGAUGCCAUCCAACCAUCUCAUAGUUAAUAAUAUGCUCUUAAUAAAGUUUGUGCACCAAAUGAAUGAA